rnacentral:rRNA from 1 species
CACUAUCGUUAACUGAAUACAUAGGUUAACGAGGCGAACCGGGGGAACUGAAACAUCUAAGUACCCCGAGGAAAAGAAAUCAACCGAGAUUCCCCCAGUAGCGGCGAGCGAACGGGGAGCAGCCCAGAGUCUGAAUCAGCUUGUGUGUUAGUGGAACGGUCUGGAAAGUCCGACGGUACAGGGUGAUAGUCCCGUACACCAAAAUGCACAGGUUGUGAACUCGAAGAGUAGGGCGGGACACGUGGUAUCCUGUCUGAAUAUGGGGGGACCAUCCUCCAAGGCUAAAUACUCCUGACUGACCGAUAGUGAACCAGUACCGUGAGGGAAAGGCGAAAAGAACCCCGGCGAGGGGAGUGAAAAAGAACCUGAAACCGUGUACGUACAAGCAGUGGGAGCACCUUCGGGUGUGACUGCGUACCUUUUGUAUAAUGGGUCAGCGACUUAUAUUCUGUAGCAAGGUUAACCGUAUAGGGGAGCCGCAGGGAAACCGAGUCUUAACUGGGCGUUAAGUUGCAGGGUAUAGACCCGAAACCCGGUGAUCUAGCCAUGGGCAGGUUGAAGGUUGGGUAACACUAACUGGAGGACCGAACCGACUAAUGUUGAAAAAUUAGCGGAUGACUUGUGGCUGGGGGUGAAAGGCCAAUCAAACCGGGAGAUAGCUGGUUCUCCCCGAAAGCUAUUUAGGUAGCGCCUCGUGAAUUCAUCUUCGGGGGUAGAGCACUGUUUCGGCUAGGGGGUCAUCCCGACUUACCAACCCGAUGCAAACUACGAAUACCGAAGAAUGUUAUCACGGGAGACACACGGCGGGUGCUAACGUCCGUCGUGAAGAGGGAAACAACCCAGACCGCCAGCUAAGGUCCCAAAGUCAUGGUUAAGUGGGAAACGAUGUGGGAAGGCACAGACAGCCAGGAUGUUGGCUUAGAAGCAGCCAUCAUUUAAAGAAAGCGUAAUAGCUCACUGGUCGAGUCGGCCUGCGCGGAAGAUGUAACGGGGCUAAACCAUGCACCGAAGCUGCGGCAGCGACACUAUGUGUUGUUGGGUAGGGGAGCGUUCUGUAAGCCUGCGAAGGUGUGCUGUGAGGCAUGCUGGAGGUAUCAGAAGUGCGAAUGCUGACAUAAGUAACGAUAAAGCGGGUGAAAAGCCCGCUCGCCGGAAGACCAAGGGUUCCUGUCCAACGUUAAUCGGGGCAGGGUGAGUCGACCCCUAAGGCGAGGCCGAAAGGCGUAGUCGAUGGGAAACAGGUUAAUAUUCCUGUACUUGGUGUUACUGCGAAGGGGGGACGGAGAAGGCUAUGUUAGCCGGGCGACGGUUGUCCCGGUUUAAGCAUGUAGGCUGGUUAUCCAGGCAAAUCCGGAUAAUCAAGGCUGAGGUGUGAUGACGAGGCACUACGGUGCUGAAGUAACAAAUGCCCUGCUUCCAGGAAAAGCCUCUAAGCAUCAGGUAACAUCAAAUCGUACCCCAAACCGACACAGGUGGUCAGGUAGAGAAUACCAAGGCGCUUGAGAGAACUCGGGUGAAGGAACUAGGCAAAAUGGUGCCGUAACUUCGGGAGAAGGCACGCUGGUGUGUAGGUGAAGUCCCUGCGGAUGGAGCUGAGACCAGUCGAAGAUACCAGCUGGCUGCAACUGUUUAUUAAAAACACAGCACUGUGCAAACACGAAAGUGGACGUAUACGGUGUGACGCCUGCCCGGUGCCGGAAGGUUAAUUGAUGGGGUUAUCCGUAAGGAGAAGCUCUUGAUCGAAGCCCCGGUAAACGGCGGCCGUAACUAUAACGGUCCUAAGGUAGCGAAAUUCCUUGUCGGGUAAGUUCCGACCUGCACGAAUGGCGUAAUGAUGGCCAGGCUGUCUCCACCCGAGACUCAGUGAAAUUGAACUCGCUGUGAAGAUGCAGUGUACCCGCGGCAAGACGGAAAGACCCCGUGAACCUUUACUAUAGCUUGACACUGAACAUUGAGCCUUGAUGUGUAGGAUAGGUGGGAGGCUUUGAAGCGUGGACGCCAGUCUGCGUGGAGCCAACCUUGAAAUACCACCCUUUAAUGUUUGAUGUUCUAACGUUGGCCCCUGACCGGGGUUGCGGACAGUGUCUGGUGGGUAGUUUGACUGGGGCGGUCUCCUCCCAAAGCGUAACGGAGGAGCACGAAGGUUAGCUAAUCCUGGUCGGACAUCAGGAGGUUAGUGCAAUGGCAUAAGCUAGCUUGACUGCGAGCGUGACGGCGCGAGCAGGUGCGAAAGCAGGUCAUAGUGAUCCGGUGGUUCUGAAUGGAAGGGCCAUCGCUCAACGGAUAAAAGGUACUCCGGGGAUAACAGGCUGAUACCGCCCAAGAGUUCAUAUCGACGGCGGUGUUUGGCACCUCGAUGUCGGCUCAUCACAUCCUGGGGCUGAAGUAGGUCCCAAGGGUAUGGCUGUUCGCCAUUUAAAGUGGUACGCGAGCUGGGUUUAGAACGUCGUGAGACAGUUCGGUCCCUAUCUGCCGUGGGCGCUGGAGAAUUGAGGGGGGCUGCUCCUAGUACGAGAGGACCGGAGUGGACGCAUCACUGGUGUUCGGGUUGUCAUGCCAAUGGCACUGCCCGGUAGCUAAAUGCGGAAGAGAUAAGUGCUGAAAGCAUCUAAGCACGAAACUUGCCCCGAGAUGAGUUCUCCCUGAGACUUUAAGUCUCCUGAAGGAACGUUAAAGACGAUGACGUUGAUAGGCCGGGUGUGUAAGCGCAGCGAUGCGUUGAGCUAACCGGUACUAAUGAACCGUGAGGCUUAACCUUACAACGCCGAAG